rnacentral:piRNA from 1 species
CCCUCAACUGUAAGGCUAGGAUAAUGCCCAC